rnacentral:rRNA from 1 species
UCGCCAGACUCCUACGGGAGGCAGCAGUGGGGGAUAUUGCACAAUGGGGGGAACCCUGAUGCAGCGACGCCGCGUGGGUGAAGGAGUGCUUCGGCAUGUAAAGCCCUAUCGGCAGGGAAGAAGCAAGACGGUACCUGACUAAGAAGCCCCGGCUAACUACGUGCCAGCAGCCGCGGUAAUACGUAGGGGGCAAGCGUUAUCCGGAUUUACUGGGUGUAAAGGGAGCGUAGACGGUGAGACAAGUCUGAAGUGAAAGCCCGGGGCUCAACCCCGGGACUGCUUUGGAAACUGCCUGACUGGAGUGCUGGAGAGGCAAGCGGAAUUCCUAGUGUAGCGGUGAAAUGCGUAGAUAUUAGGAAGAACACCAGUGGCGAAGGCGGCUUGCUGGACAGUAACUGACGUUGAGGCUCGAAAGCGUGGGGAGCAAACAGGAUUAGAUACCCCAGUAU